CGCAUCUGUGCAUGCAGCAUAUCAAUAAGCGGAGGAAAAGAAACUAACAAGGAUUCCCCUAGUAACGGCGAGUGAAGCGGGAAGAGCUCAAAUUUGAAAUCUUAAAGGGUUUCCCUUUACGAAUUGUAGUUUAAAGAAGUGUUUUCUGUUGAGGUUUUGGUAAAAGUUCUUUGGAAUAGGACAUCAUAGAGGGUGACAAUCCCGUAUUUGACCUUUACUUUCAACUUUGUGAUACACUUUCAAAGAGUCGGAUUGUUUGGGAAUGCAGUCCAAAAUGGGUGGUAAAUUUCAUCUAAAGCUAAAUAUUGGCGAGAGACCGAUAGCGAACAAGUACCGUGAGGGAAAGAUGAAAAGAACUUCGAAAAGAGAGUUAAACAGUACGUGAAAUUGUCAAAAGGGAAGCGUUUGACACCAGUGUUGUUUUUCUGAAAAUCAAUUAAAGAACUGUUUAUGCUAAGUUGUUUAGACUUUAUCAGCUAUCUGUUUAGUUUUGAGCUUUUCUUUAAUGCACUUUUCAGUUAACAAGUCAACAUCAAUUUCUUUUGCUGUAAAAAAGCUUGAGGAAGGUGGCUUGAGAUUCGUCUUAAGUGUUUAUAGCCUCUUGCCUAUGCAGUCGGAGAGAUUGAGGUCUGCAGCGUAGAUCCUUCGGGGCUAAAUGCAUUUGUGCUAAGUUAUAGCAUUUUAUAGACAACUUGUUGACUAUGAUUUGUCUUGUAGCUUACUCGCUUAUGUUAUUUUACCUACGCUUAGGAUGUUGACAGCAGUAUAGACUGU
rnacentral:rRNA from 1 species